AGGAGAGUAACAAAUAAAAGGCUUAGAAAACCUGACAUGAGGAAAGGCUAAAAAAACUGGGCAUGUUUAGUCUUGGGACAAGAACAUGGAGCGGGGACCUGAUAAGACUUCAGCAAUGUUAAGGGUUUUUACAAAAAGGAUGGUAACCAAUUGUUCUCAAUAUGUACUGAAGGUCGGACAAGCAGUAAUGGGCUUAAUCUGCAGCAAGGGAGAUUUAGGUUGGAUAUUAGGAAAUCCUGUUUCACAAUAACAAUAGUUGAGUUCUGGAAUAGGUUUCCAAAAGAGGCUCUGGAAAAUCCUUUUAAGAACAGGUUGGACAAAAUCCUAUCAAGGUUUACUUGGUCCUACCUCAGCACAGGGGGAUGAAGUUGAUGACCUCUGAAGGUCCCUUCCAGUCCGCCACUUCUGAGAUUGUGCUAUAUAUAGCCCUAGCAAGUAUGCUUAAUGCCUUACUCUGAACCCCAAAUUCAGGCACUGGUCAUCCUUUCCUCUACUUGAUUUGACUUUUCUCUCAACUCUUGCCAGAGCAGUGCUUUCUGUCAUACAGGCCCAGAAGAGUAGGGAUACAGUCAGUAGAAGAAAAACCCCAGACAUUUGACAGUAUGUGAUGCUCGAAUUGCUCUCACCUGUUUCACCUCUGAGUCAAUGUGCGAUUAUAAGGUAAAUGCAAUUCCAGCACAGGAAUCCAUCUUCAAAGAUGUUAUGAAAUGGCUUAAGUUACGACCAGUCAAACUACAAUAAGUUACUAUUUAAGAGGUUUUAGAAGAAAUAAAAAUCAAUACAAUCAUUAAGCAAUGUUGCCGAACAUUGUUAUGGGAGUGUGAUCAAAUUUCAGAAUACUAAAGAAACAAGGAACACUGUCAAGGUUGGUAGGCACCAAACUGGAUUUUUUUCUCCUCUGCUCAGGUUUUUUUUCCUGUGGGAAUGUUCUAAAAUGAUUUUUUUUAUCUCUGGUUUUAAAAAACCCCAAUAGUCCAGUAUCUGCAUGAAUCCAGAUAUAGUAAAAUGGCAUGCAUUGAGAUGGGAGUUGAAAAGGUAGCACUUACAUGAGAUAUUUAAAUCACCUCCAAGGAGCUUGUAGACAAUGGCCAAACUUUAAAAGGUACAUCAAAUCUGGCAUCUGAUCUGGAUACUUGCAAAAUUGGGGGUGAGUUCUGCAGACACACAACAUUUAGAUCACUCCUUGACUUGCAUGUGCAAAUGCUUGCUAACAAGGAGUUGGGUAGACUUGGCUCUGCAUCUGAUUGUAGGGAAAGAAUUAGGAUGGGUUGAGGUAAAGUCUUGACAGUGUUCUUUUUAACAAGGCCUCUGUAGCCGCCCUGUAACACUUACAUUAGUUUCAAGAUUAUCAACAAGACUCGUUUGCAACUUGAAACAGUUGAAGUCUGCAAGUGACUUGUUCCUAAAUGGGUGGGGUAGCUUAGUUGUGGUAUGCAAUAUGGAAAAGUGUAAGCUGUGAGACAGUGAUUAACCAGCUUUAAGAACCUAGGAUGUACUUCUUAGCAAAGUAUGGAUCAAAGGACUCAUAAGACAGGACUUCAGCAGCCUAUUGAGUAUGGACAAGUCAGCAUAAUUAAAGAAUGACAAGGCAGCAGCAGCAACAGCAGCUUCAACUUCCAGAGAAGUGAAGGCAUAAGAUACUGUGCUGAUAGUGAGCAGCUUUCCAAAGGCUAGUUAAAUCUGCUGAAAUAUCGAAGAAAGUCUAGCAAGAGUUCUUCACCUUUUGGAACCUCCUUGAGUGAUAGCCACUUGAGUUGACACAAAAUCAAUAGGUCUAGCAUUUAGACCUGAAAGGAAGGGCAAUGAGAUAGGUAAGGUUUGCCUUUAAAAAUUUUUCAUGAAUUAGAAUAGUAGUGGUUUUUUAAACAAGGUAAGAGUAAUUUAUUUACAUUGCAGGUUGAAUGAGAAGCUGCAGCUUGACAAAAUGAGGAAUGUCUUGCAUAUCCUCUUCAGUUCAAAGGUUUCUGACUAGUUUCAUCAGACAAGGAGAUGAACGAAUUAUUUUAAAGAAAAGUUGGACAUAUGUUAUAACAGAAUAUCUGAAUUUCCAGGUUGACUCCUGUACCUCUAAGAUAACUUUUUCCUGAACUCAGUGGUGCAAGUCUGUCCAUCAGAAGAAAAACGACCCUUCCAUAGAGGAUAAUGUCACAAGAUUUGAAAACAGAAAUUAAAUCUAUAAUUAAAAUGUCAGAUAAAGACUUAAAGGAUAAUAGUGUACUGAAACUUUACAGCUUGCAUUCAAACAAGUUUUAGAAAAGAACAUCCAUAAAUGUUAACUAUGUAUAUCAAAGUAUUGUCGAUAAUGCAUUUCUCAUUUUCUGUACGAGAAUGAACUGUAAAUUGUCAUGACUUUUUAUUAAAAGUUCUCUUUUUUGAGUAGUGUCA